rnacentral:rRNA from 1 species
CAGUAGCCGCGGUAAUACAGAGGGUGCGAGCGUUAAUCGGAUUUACUGGGCGUAAAGCGUGCGUAGGCGGCUUCUUAAGUCGGAUGUGAAAUCCCUGAGCUUAACUUAGGAAUUGCAUUCGAUACUGGGAAGCUAGAGUAUGGGAGAGGAUGGUAGAAUUCCAGGUGUAGCGGUGAAAUGCGUAGAGAUCUGGAGGAAUACCGAUGGCGAAGGCAGCCAUCUGGCCUAAUACUGACGCUGAGGUACGAAAGCAUGGGGAGCAAACAGGAUUAGAUACCCCCUGUAGUCCCUGUCUCUUAUA